ensembl:lncRNA
CGCGAGCCCAACACGGCUCUCGGAGGACUAGCCCCCCUCCCCCACCCCGCCCCCUGGCGCUAGCGUUCGGCCGCGCGCCCGCGCCACCUAGGGGCGGGGCCGAUGGGAGGGGCCUAUGCAAAUAUGUUUACGUUAAAAUUCGGCUUAGCUUCCCCGGUGGAGGAAAAAGUGUACUGCCUGGCGCCUGGCAUGGAUGCGGGGGAGGGGGGCUGCGGCUCCAGGAGGCGGGUCUCUAGCUUCUGUGCACCUUUAUUAAGAACGUCUACGGCUUUCGCCUCGGCGGAUAGUCUCACCGCUAGGCUCCUAGGCCCGGGCACUGCGUGUGCAUCGACCUGUGGAAGUCACACUUUGCAAAUUUCCUUCCUUCACCUUGCACGAAGGAAUGAGAUCUUUGGGAAACCGGGGAGUGGAGAGUGUAGGUCCCCGGAUUGACAAAACAAUCUGGGAGAAGUGCAUGCGUGCUUUGCACGUCCGUCGAAGCAGGAGAGCCCUUUCAACAUCCUAGCGGUAGACUAGGGGAUAGUAGGGAGACUGAAGCCGUGGAGUCGGGUUCCGGGAUUUUCAAGAGUAUGUUUGGCUGUAGAUUCUGGAGAAAGGCCCCAAUGCACGAACUGCAGGCAGUCCUCCAGAAGUGGAGAAAGCUCCAGUGGGCAAAUCACAGUACAUGAGGCAGAAAACCAACACCACUCGGCCACCGGGAUAAUGUCCAGUCUGCAAAAUCCUAUGUGUUCUUAUCAUCGCCAGAAGUAAACUACCUUGAUCAGACCUGAUGCAAAGCAGAUUUCUACCAAAAUCAGAAAUGAAAAAAUUAGAGGCUACCUAUGCUGAAAAUGGAGUGUAUAUUGCAAAGUCAGGUCCUACAUGUCAGCCACAAUAGCACAGAGCCAGUCACAGGAGAAUGUUCUUUAUAUUGCAGCUACUCUUGUGUCCUUGAGUCCCUAUCAAGGAAUUUUGGUGCAUAAUCUUAUUUAAUUGAAACAACCUUUAGAAUAGAUUCUAUUGUCUCCGUCUAUCUUUUUUAUUCAACACAGUUAGAAAAAUUAAACACCAGCCUUUAAAAAAAAUCUCAAUUUCCAAAUUGCAGACAGAGCCCUCACAACUAACCACUAUGCUGCACUGUGCCUCAAUAAAUAUGUGUUAAGUGCAGGAAUAAAUUUCACAUCAUAAUGCAUGAAUAAUAAGCAAAGGAGAGCUGUAUUUUUAACAUAAGGUGAAAAUAUGCCAGCAACCCAGAAACAUUUUUGAAAAUAACAGGAUUGCAGCAGACUCCUAAGGAAAGACAUUCCUCAUGAGGCUGAGGCUCCAAGAGAAUGUAGCCAGGCCCUACUCCUCCCACACUCGGAACACAGUAUGGGGACAUUGGAAGAUGUGGAGUGUUUUCAUCUCCCUUCGUUCUCUUGGCACAUCAGAUGAACACCUACUCAAAUUUCCAGUUGGCAAAGAACAACAUGGGACAUUUCUAUAGGAAAUGCCAGUGCUAUGUAACUUACCUCACUAGAAGACUGCAAACAGAUUUAGAGAUAGUCACAGAAAUGCUACCUGCCAUGUAGGGUUAGAGGAAGUUGUCACCCCCCAGUCUUAGCAGGUAUGGAAACUGAGGCCUGCUAUACUUCUGCAUAGGAGCCAGACUUGAGAACGACCGAUGAAGCAAUUUGUUGUUGCUCUAUCUUCUAGCCACACUCCUCUCCCGCCCCCCCUCCCCAGCUCUUUCACACCAAAGAUGUCG